rnacentral:rRNA from 1 species
AGUGAACGCUGGCGGUAGGCCUAACACAUGCAAGUCGAACGGCAGCACAGUAAGAGCUUGCUCUUACGGGUGGCGAGUGGCGGACGGGUGAGGAAUACAUCGGAAUCUACUUUUUCGUGGGGGAUAACGUAGGGAAACUUACGCUAAUACCGCAUACGACCUACGGGUGAAAGCAGGGGAUCUUCGGACCUUGCGCGAUUGAAUGAGCCGAUGUCGGAUUAGCUAGUUGGCGGGGUAAAGGCCCACCAAGGCGACGAUCCGUAGCUGGUCUGAGAGGAUGAUCAGCCACACUGGAACUGAGACACGGUCCAGACUCCUACGGGAGGCAGCAGUGGGGAAUAUUGGACAAUGGGCGCAAGCCUGAUCCAGCCAUACCGCGUGGGUGAAGAAGGCCUUCGGGUUGUAAAGCCCUUUUGUUGGGAAAGAAAAGCAGCAGGUUAAGACCCCGCUGUUCUGACGGUACCCAAGGAAUAAGCACCGGCUAACUUCGU